UAGGGAAUCUUCCACAAUGGACGCAAGUCUGAUGGAGCAACGCCGCGUGAGUGAAGAAGGUUUUCGGACCGUAAAGCUCUGUUGUUGGUGAAGAAGGAUAGAGGUAGUAACUGGCCUUUAUUUGACGGUAAUCAACCAGAAAGUCACGGCUAACUACGUGCCAGCAGCCGCGGUAAUACGUAGGUGGCAAGCGUUGUCCGGAUUUAUUGGGCGUAAAGCGAGCGCAGGCGGAAGAAUAAGUCUGAUGUGAAAGCCCUCGGCUUAACCGAGGAAUUGCAUCGGAAACUGUUUUCUUGAGUGCAGAAGAGGAGAGUAGAACUCCAUGUGUAGCGGUGGAAUGCGUAGAUAUAUGGAAGAAUACCAGUGGCGAAGGCGGCUCUCUGGUCUGCAACUGACGCUGAGGCUCGAAGGCAUGGGUAGCGAACAGGAUUAGAUACCCUGGUAGUCCAUGCCGUAAACGAUGAGUGCUAAGUGUUGGGAGGCUUCCGCCUCUCAGUGCUGCAGCUAACGCAUUAAGCACUCCGCCUGGGGGAGUACGACCGCAAGGUUGAAAC
rnacentral:rRNA from 1 species